GUAGGGAAUAUUGGACAAUGGGGGAAACCCUGAUCCAGCAAUGCCGCGUGAGUGAAGAAGGCCUUAGGGUUGUAAAGCUCUUUCGCCCACGAAGAUAAUGACGGUAGCGGGAGAAGAAGCCCCGGCUAACUCCGUGCCAGCAGCCGCGGUAAUACGGAGGGGGCUAGCGUUGUUCGGAAUUACUGGGCGUAAAGCGUACGUAGGCGGAUGCGCAAGUUGGGGGUGAAAUCCCGGGGCUUAACCUCGGAAUUGCCCUCAAAACUGCACGUCGUGAGACCGAGAGAGGUCAGGGGAAUUCCUAGUGUAGAGGUGAAAUUCGUAGAUAUUAGGAAGAACACCAGUGGCGAAGGCGCCUUACUGGCUCGGUACUGACGCUGAGGUACGAAAGCGUGGGGAGCAAACA
rnacentral:rRNA from 1 species